UUAGGAAUCUUCCACAAUGGGCGAAAGCCUGAUGGAGCGACGCCGCGUGAGGGAUGAAGGCCUUAGGGUUGUAAACCUCUAAAAGAGGGACGAUAAUGACGGUACCUCUUGAAUAGCACCGGCUAACUCCGUGCCAGCAGCCGCGGUAAUACGGAGGGUGCAAGCGUUAUCCGGAAUCACUGGGCGUAAAGGGCGCGUAGGCGGUCUGUUAAGUCCGAUGUUAAAUCCCGGGGCUCAACCCCGGAUAAGCGUUGGAUACUGGCAGGCUAGACGGUUGGAGAGGCGAGUGGAAUUACCAGUGUAGCGGUGGAAUGCGUAGAUACUGGGAGGAACACCAAUUGCGAAGGCAGCUCGCUGGACAACACGUGACGCUGAGGCGCGAAAGUGUGGGGAGCAAA
rnacentral:rRNA from 1 species